rnacentral:rRNA from 1 species
AUUAAAUAUAUUUAAAUAAAUGAGAGAUUAAAUGAUAAAUCAUUAAAUUUAAAAAAUUUGGCGGUACUUAUAAUUUAGAGGAACCUGUAUAGUAAUUGAUAAUCCACGAUAAGAUAAACUUAAUAAAUAAAGUUUAUGUAUUGCUGUUUUUAGUAUUUAAUUAAGUUAGAUUUGUAUGAUUUAUGAUAGUAAAAAAAUUCAAGUCAAAAUAUAGCUUUUUUAAGAUUUAAUAUGGGUUACAAUUAAUUUUAUUAUUAGAUUAUAAAAUUUAAUUUUUGUAUGAAAAUGGAUUUAAAAGUAAAUUUAAUAAAUUUAUUGAAUUGAAUGAUUAACAUAGGUAUGU